GAUGAAGAACGUAGCGAAAUGCGAAAAGUAAUGUGAAUUGCAGAAUUCAGUGAAUCAUCGAAUCUUUGAACGCACAUUGCGCCCGCCAGUAUUCUGGCGGGCAUGCCUGUCUGAGCGUCAUUUCAACCCUCACGCCCCUAGGGCGUGGUGUUGGGGAUCGGCCAGCGCCCUCGCGGACGAGGCCGUCCCCUAAAUCUAGUGGCGGACCCGUCGUGGCCUCCCCUGCGAAGUAGUGAUAUUCCGCAUAGGAGAGCGACGAGCCCCUGCCGUUAAACCCCCAACUUUCUCAGGUUGACCUCAGAUCAGGUAGGAAUACCCGCUGAACUUAAGCAUAUCAAUAAGCGGAGGA
rnacentral:misc_RNA from 1 species